GACGAACGCUGGCGGCGUGCUUAACACAUGCAAGUCGAACGAGAACCAGGCCUUCGGGCCUGGGGAAAGCGGCGAACGGGUGAGUAACACGUGGGUAAUCUGCCCUCGGCAUCGGGAUAGCCCGGGGAAACCCGGAUUAAUACCGGAUAGCCUCCGAAGCCUUCGGGCGUCGGAGAAAAGGUGGCUUCGGCUUCCGGCCGAGGAUGAGCCCGCGGCGGAUUAGCUUGUUGGUGGGGUAACGGCCCACCAAGGCGACGAUCCGUAGCUGGUCUGAGAGGACGAUCAGCCACACUGGGACUGAGACACGGCCCAGACUCCUACGGGAGGCAGCAGUGGGGAAUCUUGCGCAAUGGGCGAAAGCCUGACGCAGCGACGCCGCGUGCGGGAAGAAGGCCUUCGGGUUGUAAACCGCUUUCAGGAGGGACGAAGCCACUCGGGUUAAUAGCCCAGAGGGUGACGGUACCUCCAGAAGAAGCCCCGGCUAACUACGUGCCAGCCGCCGCGUAA
rnacentral:rRNA from 1 species